CUAAAGGGUCGCCUUUGUACGCCUGUAGAUACUUGCCGUUACGAGUGCCUUAUCUAGGGCGUUCGUACCAUAUGGCAUCAACCUCAAACAGUGGUUCAAAUCAAUGUAUGUAACCAUACUACACAAUCUCGUUUUCGACGCCGGAUGUAUCACACAAAUGCUUCGUCUUCUGCUUUCAUACGUCGUUGUAUUAAUUAUCCUCGUCGGAUCCAUUCAUGGGCAAAAUAGCAGCACAACGACUGUCCCGACGACAUUGCCAUCAA